AACCUGGUUGAUCCUGCCAGUAGUCAUAUGCUUGUCUCAAAGAUUAAGCCAUGCAUGUCUAAGUUUAAACUUGCAUUAAUAGUGAAACCGCGAAUGGCUCAUUAAAUCAGUUAUAUUUUCCAAGAUCGUGUCCAUCCAUUUGGAUAACUGUGGUAAUUCUAGAGCUAAUACAUGCAACACGGCUCCGACCCGCAAGGGAACGAGCGCUUUUAUUAGAUCAAAACCAAUCGGUCGCUCGCGACCGUUUGCUUGAUGACUCUGGAUAACCUCGAGCGAAUCGCACGGACCUGCUCCGGCGAUGUAUCUUUCAAAUGUCUGCCCUAUCAACUUGCGUAGGCCGUUAAACUGACCGCCUUGGUUUUUACGGGUAACGGGGAAUCAGGGUUCGAUUCCGGAGAGGGAGCAUGAGAAACGGCUGCCACAUCCAAGGAAGGCAGCAGGCGCGCAAAUUACCCACUCCUAGCACAGUGAGGUAGUGACGAAAAAUAACGAUGCGGGUCCUCUCACGAGGGUCCGCAAUCGGAAUGAGUACACUUUAAAUCCUUYAACGAGGAUCAAUUGGAGGGCAAGUCUGGUGCCAGCAGCCGCGGUAAUUCCAGCUCCAAUAGCGUAUAUUAAAGUUGUUGCAGUUAAAAAGCUCGUAGUUGGAUCUCUGGCGUGGGCGAAUGGUGCUCCCUUGCGUGGAGUCUACUGUUCGUUCCUGCCUAACUGCCGGACGUCUCUGGAUGCGCUUCGUUGAGUGUCCAAGGGAUGGCCGGCGCGUUUACUUUGAAGAAAUUAGAGUGUUCAAGGCAGUCGAAACGACUGAAUAAUGGUGCAUGGAAUAAUGGAAUAGGACCUUGGUUCUAUUUUGUUGGCUUUGAGAGCCGAGGUAAUGAUUAAGAGGGACAGACGGGGGCAUUCGUAUUGCGCCGUUAGAGGUGAAAUUCUUGGAUCGGCGCAAGACGAACAACUGCGAAAGCAUUUGCCAAGAAUGUCUUCAUUAAUCAAGAACGAAAGUCAGAGGUUCGAAGGCGAUCAGAUACCGCCCUAGUUCUGACCAUAAACGAUGCCAACCAGCGAUCCGCCGCGGUUAACACAAUGACUCGGCGGGCAGCUUCCGGGAAACCAAAGUUUUUGGGUUCCGGGGGAAGUAUGGUUGCAAAGCUGAAACUUAAAGGAAUUGACGGAAGGGCACCACCAGGAGUGGAGCCUGCGGCUUAAUUUGACUCAACACGGGAAAACUCACCCGGCCUGGACACUGCAAGGAUUGACAGAUUGAUAGCUCUUUCUUGAUUCGGUGGGUGGUGGUGCAUGGCCGUUCUUAGUUGGUGGAGCGAUUUGUCUGGUUAAUUCCGAUAACGAGCGAGACUCUAGCCUACUAACUAGGCGGCUCGCCGCAUCGUCGGCGGGUCGAUACUUCUUAGAGGGACAAGUGGCAUUCAGCCACACGAGAAUGAGCAAUAACAGGUCUGUGAUGCCCUUAGAUGUUCGGGGCCGCACGCGCGCUACACUGAAGGAGUCAGCGUGACUUUACUCUGCACCGGAARGUGUGGGUAAUCCGUUGAACUUCCUUCGUGCGAGGGAUCGGAGUUUGCAACUGUUCUCCAUGAACGAGGAAUUCCCAGUAAGCGCAAGUCAUCAGCUUGCGUUGAUCACGUCCCUGCCCUUUGUACACACCGCCCGUCGCUACUACCGAUUGAAUGGUUUAAUGAGAUCGCUGGAUCGGAGCCUAGCCAACAAGUGCGCGCAAGCGCAGGCGUAGCUAGCGCACCGGAGAAGGCGAGCGAAUUCGAUUUCGAAAGGAAGUAAAAGUCGUAACAAGGUUUCCGUAGGUGAACCUGCGGGAGGAUCA
rnacentral:rRNA from 1 species